ACAGCUUGAUGAAGACCUUCCUCUCUAGUGAAUGAAUUGACUUCGUCUACUGUGAAUUCAACAGUAGGUGUUCCAUUUUGAGAAGAAACUGGAUUGAGUUCCAGCUUUGUACUAGCCUCUGCAGCCUGUUUACCAUCUAGUAAAGCUGCGAAGCUUGGUUUGGUCCCGUUAAUUGAUCGAUUUUGAAUAUCCUCUCCCACAGCACAAAGCUGGGGAGAGACUGUAUCUUCCAUCAAUGCGAU
rnacentral:lncRNA from 1 species